rnacentral:misc_RNA from 1 species
CUUCUUCUUCUUCUUCUUCUUCUUCUUUGCCCACACCAAUGGAAAAGAAGCAGGGCUUCUUUUCUGCUCUCAAAGAAGAAGUAGUCCGUGGUCUCUCCCCUUCCCGUUCGCGCUCCAAUAGCCCCGCCCGAACCGUUUCCCCAAUAUCGGGUCUGCUCAGGAGAAAGAAGAACUGCAGCAGCAACGACAGCCAUUGUAAUCCCUAUGCAGCGCAGCAGGAUUCUUUGGUCGUGAGAUCGGGGAGCUUGAGGC